GUACAUCCAGAGAACUUAGCAGAGAUGCUUUGGUGCCUUCGGGAACUCUGAGACAGGUGCUGCAUGGCUGUCGUCAGCUCGUGUUGUGAAAUGUUGGGUUAAGUCCCGNAACGAGCGCAACCCUUUAUCCUUUGUUGCCAGCGGCUCGGCCGGGAACUCAAAGGAGACUGCCGGUGAUAAACCGGAGGAAGGUGGGGAUGACGUCAAGUCAUCAUGGCCCUUACGGCCAGGGCUACACACGUGCUACAAUGGCGCAUACAAAGAGAAGCGACCUCGCGAGAGCAAGCGGACCUCAUAAAGUGCGUCGUAGUCCGGAUUGGAGUCUGCAACUCGGACUCCAUGAAGUCGGAAUCGCUAGUAAUCGUAGAUCAGAAUGCUACGGUGAAUACGUUCCCGGGCCUUGUACACACCGCCCGUCACACCAUGGGAGUGGGUUGCAAAAGAAGUAGGUAGCUUAACCUUCGGGAGGGCGCUUACCACUUUGUGAUUCAUGACUGGGGUAAAGUCGUAACAAGGUAGGCGUAGCGAG
rnacentral:rRNA from 1 species